rnacentral:rRNA from 1 species
UACGUAGGGUGCGAGCGUUAUCCGGAAUUAUUGGGCGUAAAGAGCUCGUAGGCGGUUUGUCGCGUCUGCCGUGAAAGUCCGGGGCUCAACUCCGGAUCUGCGGUGGGUACGGGCAGACUAGAGUGAUGUAGGGGGGACUGGAAUUCCUGGUGUAGCGGUGAAAUGCGCAGAUAUCAGGAGGAACACCGACGGCGAAGGCAGGUCUCUGGGCAUUAACUGACGCUGAGGAGCGAAAGCAUGGGGAGCGAACAGG